CAGCUAGUGAGUGUCUGGCAGGAAGAAGGAGUCGCAGAUACUGGCAAAAGAGAAAAGCCUGGCAGAGAGAACCACAUGGUGGACAGAGAUAGAGACUAGAGAACUGCUGGUGGGCCCAGAGAGCUGAGAGACUCCACCAAAAGCAGACAUUUGGUUCAGGCUGGCACAGAGAAGCCACAUACUGUGCCUGGAGUGUGAAAGGAAUACAGACUGGAGAAACCAACAUCAGCAAGGGAUUUCCAUCUGAGCAUCCAAAGGGGCUUUCCAUCUGAGCAUCCAAAGUAGUCGCACUGUAUGUCUGAAUGUACUGGAGUCAUCUGAAGAGAACUCUCUAAAUCAUCCAAAGAGGGUUUGGAAAAAAGGAAUAGUAUUUGGAGCACCUUUGACAGAAGAAGGAAUUGCAUAAAUUUACCAGCUUAUUGAUUACUGUAUCUACACAAAAAUCUGCGUACUGAGGGAUUGUUUCGUAUUCCAGGGGACAGCCAUCAACAACAAAUUAUUAAAGACUUGCUCAACAGUGGGAUGGAUAUUGAUGUGGAGUCUGGAGAGUUUCAUCCUAAUGAUGUAGCCACUUUACUAAAAAUGUACCUCAGUGAAUUGCCAGAGCCUUUGCUGACACCCAGGCAUUAUAACGCUCAUUUAAAAAUUACCUAAUGCUUUUCGAUGCCAAGUGUAAUAGGACAGGCGUACCAGAUUAAGAGCGACAGAUCGAGGCAUUGCAACUUCUUUUCCUGCUUCUCCUUUCACCAAACAGAAAUCUACUGAAACUACUGCUGGACCUUCUCUAUCAGACAGCCAGAAAACAAGAUCGCAAUAAGAUGUCUGCCCAUAACCUUGCUUUCAUGUUUGCACCUCAUAUAAAAUGCCCUAAAAUGUAGUCAUCAAUAGGAAAAAAAACAUUUUAUUUAAAAAAAUAAUAAUAAUGUUCUUAUUAAUUUGUCUCAAACUCUAUCAAUGUAGAACUACUAGUUUCUAAGCAAUACAAGUAUAGUAUCCAACAUGAGGUAACAAGUAAGAUGCAAGUACAGGAAUUCCAUUUCCUUCCAAGUUUAAACAAACAAUUCUUCAAAUUGUUUUCCUUUAUAAAGAUACUACCAUGACCUGAUGUUAAUUAAGCUAGUAUAAAUCUAUGGUGGCAAAACAAUCCUAUUGUUUAAUUAUAUUAGCCCAAAUGAUGAUCUUUCAUGAAAAAUGCAGAAAACAUGAGGUCUCAGGUGUUAUAAUGGAUCCCAUACAUGUAUUACCUGAAUGUUUGUGAAACAAUAAGCCUUUUUUGAAGAUACAUCACUAUGUUGGCACCUUUGUAUGUGGCUGGUGGGCAGGUUGACUGGUACGUUGCCAGGCGCAAGCCAUGAUACCAACAAACCAUGGGAACUAUAAGAAAGCAAAGCAUUGGCCUUGCCACCAGCCAAAUACACUGUCUAUAGAAGUGUGACUUAAUUUAAAUCUUUGCAUAAUUUGUUCUUUAAAUAGAGAAUAAAGCUGAUUUUAAUGUAAAGUACAGGCAGUUAAUUGCAUUUGUGCAUUUGUUAGGAAUGCACCAAAUACAUAUUUUUUUGAUUUGGCUAAACAAAACAUUUGUCUAAAUACCAAAUCAAUGCUAAACCCUUAAUAUUAAAAUUUCAGGAAAGAAAAAAUUGUAUCAUUGUUGCAUUCCGUUGCUCUAAGUGAGUUUAAGGGGCAGAUUUACUGAGGGUCGAAUAUCGAGGGUUAAUUAACCCUC